CAGAGAAAUGAAGUGACUUAUCCAAGUUCACAACAGCAGACAAAUGGCAGAGCUGGGAUUAGAACCCAGGUUCUUAUGCCCCAGCUAGUGCUCUAUCAACUAGGCCAUGUUGCUUCUCUAGACACCUAGGAAGCACUUAACGAACAUCACAGUCUGUUGUUAUUAUCAUGUUAUUUCUCACUCUCAGAAAGCUCUCCGGGAAUGUCCUGCCCAGCCCACCGCUGUUUGACUGGGAAGCACGAUUCUCCGCAGACACCUACCCGUUCGAUUGUUCAUCUCCCCCUUGGCACAGGGAACACAGUUGUAGCAGCAGGCAGCUUUCCUUUCCUGGGCUGUUUUCCUGAAUUCCGGCCAGCAGCUCUCGCUACACAUGGAGCAGAGCUCUACCGGCUUCCAGUCCAAGAUGACAAUCUGGGAUCUCAUCCAAUAACGCCUCCUCAAUCAACCGAUCAAUCAGUGGCAUUUAGUGAGCACUUGCACUGUAUAAAGCACUGUAUUAAGCACUUUGCAGAGUACAGUAUAAGAGUUGGAAGACACGUUCCCUGUACACAUGGAGCAUCCAGGCCUGAAGAGGAGACAGACAUUAAAGUAAACUACGGAUAUGGACGUUGUGGGCCCGGAAUGUGUUUGCUACAGUUACACUGCACUCUCCCAAGGGCUAGGUAUAGCGCUCUGCCCACUGUAAGCACUCAGUGAUUACGAUUGACUGACUAACUGACUGACAGAAAGACCGUGGGACUGAGUGUGGGGUGAAACUGUACAGCAGCUUCCUGGCCAGGAACUCUUGACCAUGGCCAGGAGUCCCAUGUAGCCUGGGACACAGUAGAAAGCAGUGGCGGAACCCUCAGUACAUUGGAUGAUGAUGACCCCGACCUCAGAUGCCACAUCCACGUGGGAGAAUGGAGGUGAGGUCCCCAACCAGACCGUGCAGAUGCCCACUUGGAGGAGGGAGCAGAUGCAGAUGAUGAAGGAAGGCACCAUGGGCCCCAGCCGUGUUCUCAUUCUGCUCCUCAGCCCAGUGGCCCUGAAUGCCAGGACCAUGAUGACCGUCUUGGCCAUCACAGUGGAAAUGGCCAGGGAGAAGAUGACUUCAGAGGCCGUUUGUCACGCAGGUCAUCUCAUCCUCCUCCUCCUGCUCCUCCUCCUCAUUUAUUACCUGAGAAAAUAGACCAUCCCAUGUUAUCUUCUCCUCACUGAUGAUGAAAUCUUGGCCAGCUGGGGCCAGGGGGAUGAACUCUCCCACUUUGAUGUAGACUUUGGUUCCAUUCUGUAAAAUCUGAUAGUUCAGGAUAUCAAACCUACUGGUCGCCCAGCUGAGGUCAUCCAAACGGACCCACUCACCAGCGCCAGUGUGGAUUCGAGCGUUCUUCAGAGGCGAGUGGAGCUGGAGGGAGAAGGAGACACCAGUGACUCAAGUCACCAAAGUAGCAGAGUACUGUAGUGGACAGAGGGAGGGGAGAAUUACCUGCCAUGGAUGAGGGAUCCAGCUUGGUCCAUCUCCCAAUGUCUCCAUGUCCUUGGCAGCCCAAAUCUCUUGGUGGAGUGUGUGAGCGAUGACCUAUACAGUGCUGUACACGCUGUAACUU
rnacentral:lncRNA from 1 species